GUGUUGGUAGCCACUACAACUCUGGUUCGUGGCCUUCGACUAUGGCUGAUUCUACUCCGACCGACUCUGGUGCAGCUUCCUCUGUAGCUGGCAUAGACUCUAUCGCGAUCGCUGUAGCUUCUUUAGUCGAGGUUGUUGCUUCAUCGAUUGGCCCCUCUUCUACCGCCCCAACUGGGACAGUGAUGGCUCAGGUCAAGGUCUGGAUAAAUUUUUUCGAUGGUGUCUUUGCCAUCUUCAUAUCUAAUCUAAUAGGCUGCACUGCCGCCCUCAAGGAUUUUAUUCUUGAAAUCCUAAGAUGCUUUGUAAUCA
rnacentral:lncRNA from 1 species